GCGGACGUAGUGCACGGUGCACUACUGCCUUCAAUUUCGUGUCGAAGAAGAUUGCGAGCAGCUCACCGGGGUUCGACUCCCCGCGUCCGCC